rnacentral:rRNA from 1 species
GACGAACGCUGGCGGCGUGCUUAACACAUGCAAGUCGAACGGAAAGGCCCUGCUUUUGUGGGGUGCUCGAGUGGCGAACGGGUGAGUAACCCGUGAGUAACCUGCCCUUGACUUUGGGAUAACUUCAGGAAACUGGGGCUAAUACCGGAUAGGAGCUCCUGCUGCAUGGUGGGGGUUGGAAAGUUUCGGCGGUUGGGGAUGGACUCGCGGCUUAUCAGCUUGUUGGUGGGGUAGUGGCUUACCAAGGCUUUGACGGGUAGCCGGCCUGAGAGGGUGACCGGCCACAUUGGGACUGAGAGACGGCCCAGACUCCUACUGUAGGCAGCAGGGGGGAGUAUUGCACAAUGGGCGGAAGCCUAAUGCAGCAACGCCGCGUGCGGGAUGUCGUCCUUCGGGUUGUAAACCGCUUUCGCCUGUGACGGAGCGUGAGUGACGGUAAUGUGUAAAGAAGCACCGGCUAACUACGUG